CAACAGGGAUUGCUCUAGUAACGGCGAGUGAAGCAGCAAUAGCUCAAAUUUGAAAUCUGGCGUCUUCGACGUCCGAGUUGUAAUUUGUAGAGGAUGCUUCUGAGUAACCACCGACCUAAGUUCCUUGGAACAGGACGUCAUAGAGGGUGAGAAUCCCGUAUGCGGUCGGAAAGGUGCUCUAUACGUAGCUCCUUCGACGAGUCGAGUUGUUUGGGAAUGCAGCUCUAAAUGGGAGGUAAAUUUCUUCUAAAGCUAAAUAUUGGCCAGAGACCGAUAGCGCACAAGUAGAGUGAUCGAAAGAUGAAAAGCACUUUGGAAAGAGAGUUAAAAAGCACGUGAAAUUGUUAAAAGGGAAGGGAUUGCAACCAGACUUGCUCGCGGUGUUCCGCCGGUCUUCUGACCGGUCUACUCGCCGCGUUGCAGGCCAGCAUCGUCUGGUGCCGCUGGAUAAGACUUGAGGAAUGUAGCUCCCUCGGGAGUGUUAUAGCCUCUUGUGAUGCAGCGAGCGCCGGGCGAGGUCCGCGCUUCGGCUAGGAUGCUGGCGUAAUGGUCGUAAUCCGCCCGUCUUGAAACACG
rnacentral:rRNA from 1 species